rnacentral:rRNA from 1 species
GAUCCUGGCUCAGAUUGAACGCUGGCGGAAUGCUUUACACAUGCAAGUCGAACGGUAGAGGGGGCAACCCCUUGAGAGUGGCGAACGGGUGAGUAAUAUAUCGGAACGUGCCCAGUCGUGGGGGAUAACGUAGCGAAAGUUACGCUAAUACCGCAUACGAUCUACGGAUGAAAGCGGGGGAUCGCAAGACCUCGCGCGAUUGGAGCGGCCGAUAUCAGAUUAGGUAGUUGGUGGGGUAAAGGCUCACCAAGCCAACGAUCUGUAGCUGGUCUGAGAGGACGACCAGCCACACUGGAACUGAGACACGGUCCAGACUCCUACGGGAGGCAGCAGUGGGGAAUUUUGGACAAUGGGGGCAACCCUGAUCCAGCCAUUCCGCGUGAGUGAAGAAGGCCUUCGGGUUGUAAAGCUCUUUCGCAAGGGAAGAAAACUUAUGAUCGAAUAAAUCAUGAGGUUGACGGUACCUUGAUAAGAAGCACCGGCUAACUACGUG